CCAAAUCGUUCCGCCUGCCUCCCCCAAACCCCACGAAGCCACCACCACUAGAACAAUCUGCAGUUAACCAGCCACCACCACCCUCCGGAUACAGCUCGCCAACACCAGAACCUGCACUCACCUCCUCGGUGCUCCACAGCCGCUGCUGCACCUACAGGUGUGGAUUGUGUGCAAUUGUAGGUAUACGGUGGUUGGCUUGAGGUAUCACCGUCAAAUAUUUGGUGGAGGCUGAAGUGGCAGUCGAGUGAGAGGAGGGAUUACGUCGCUUAACCUGGUUACAUGGCUUGACACUUGAGCUUUAAUGGUUGACAUGGAUCUGCUAUCUCAGAUAGUAGAACCUAAGUUAAUUGGAUUAAAGUUUGCAGCCAACGUGGGGGAGUGAUGGUGAGAUCCGCCGUUUAUGAAAGUGGGUUUGUUCCGAAUUUAUCAAAUGCGAGAGGAUUUGGUGAUUUGCUAGGAAGUCAAAUGCGAGACAUAUGAAAAGAUCUUUCCUUUCAAGAACAUUUGUGCUAGCAGAAAGGUAAUCUAUAUCAGGGUACACUCAACGGAAGAUGGGGCAUGGCUGGGUCUGAAUGAAGAGAGGCCAGAAACUACCAUCUUCCGACAAGUUAAGCCGCGGCAGGUGCUUUUCGAUACAUAACAGUUAUAGGUUUCGCUUGAGGACACGGUUCGAGACGAUUAGCUUGUGGAUAUGGAAGCUUUGCAACCUGUCAAAAAGAGGAAGUCCCCUAACAGUUUAUCUGUCCUUGGGGCAAGAGGAAGUCCCCUAGCAGUUUAUUUGCCCUUGGGGAAAGAGGAGAAGAAAAAUUCCUUUAUCCCCUACUUUGUGUUUAGGAUUUAAGAUUGAUUUCAGGUUAAAUGGAUGAACGAUGACCUCUUGGAUGUUGCAUGAAGCUACUCGGCAUUGAAGUUGGCAUUUCUAGUUGAAGACGAUGUUUUAAAUAAAUAAAUUUCAAACAUUUAAAUUGUGUAUUUUAGUUUGGAUAUUUUCCAUGAUUGGGAAUUUAACUUAAAAGUUUUCCGCU
rnacentral:lncRNA from 1 species